UACGUAGGUGGCAAGCGUUGUCCGGAUUUACUGGGCGUAAAGAGCGCGCAGGCGGUCGUUCAAGUCGCGUGUGAAAGCCCCCGGCUCAACUGGGGAGGGUCACGCGAUACUGAUCGACUCGAAGGCAGGAGAGGGAAGUGGAAUUCCCGGUGUAGUGGUGAAAUGCGUAGAUAUCGGGAGGAACACCAGUGGCGAAGGCGACUUCCUGGCCUGUUCUUGACGCUGAGGCGCGAAAGCCAGGGGAGCGAUCCGG
rnacentral:rRNA from 1 species